GGAACAAAGCCUGAUGGU
rnacentral:snRNA from 1 species